UACAGAGAGUGCAAGCGUUAAUCGGAAUUACUGGGCGUAAAGCGCACGUAGGGGGAUGUUUAAGUCGAAUGUGAAAGCCCCGGGCUUAACCUGGGAAUUGCAUCCGAUACUGAAUAUCUAGAGUAUAGGAGAGGGAAGUGGAAUUUCCGGUGUAGCGGUGAAAUGCGUAGAUAUCGGAAGGAACACCAGUGGCGAA
rnacentral:rRNA from 1 species